rnacentral:tRNA from 1 species
GGGGUUGUGGCUCAGUGGUAAAGCACUUGCCUGGCACGCGUGAGGCCCUGGGUUUGAUCCUCAGCACCA